GAUGAACGCUGGCGGCGUGCUUAACACAUGCAAGUCGAACGGAAAGGCCCAAGCUUGCUUGGGUGCUCGAGUGGCGAACGGGUGAGUAACACGUGGGUGAUCUGCCCUGCACUUUGGGAUAAGCCUGGGAAACUGGGUCUAAUACCGGAUAGGACCAUCGUUUAGUGUCGGUGGUGGAAAGUUUUUCGGUGUGGGAUGAGCUCGCGGCCUAUCAGCUUGUUGGCGGGGUAAUGGCCUACCAAGGCGUCGACGGGUAGCCGGCCUGAGAGGGUGUACGGCCACAUUGGGACUGAGAUACGGCCCAGACUCCUACGGGAGGCAGCAGUGGGGAAUAUUGCACAAUGGGCGCAAGCCUGAUGCAGCGACGCCGCGUGGGGGAUGACGGCCUUCGGGUUGUAAACUCCUUUCGCCAAGGACGAAGCGUUUUGUGACGGUACUUGGAGAAGAAGCACCGGCUAACUACGUG
rnacentral:rRNA from 1 species